CCUACGGGAGGCAGCAGUGAGGAAUAUUGGUCAAUGGGCUUACGCCUGAACCAGCCAAGUCGCGUGAGGGAAGACUGCCCUAUGGGUUGUAAACCUCUUUUGUCAGGGAGCAACGCCGGCUACGUGUAGCCGGACUGAGAGUACCUGAAGAAAAAGCAUCGGCUAACUCCGUGCCAGCAGCCGCGGUAAUACGGAGGAUGCGAGCGUUAUCCGGAUUUAUUGGGUUUAAAGGGUGCGUAGGCGGUCGGAUAAGUUAGAGGUGAAAUCCCGAGGCUCAACUUCGGAAUUGCCUCUGAUACUGUUCGGCUAGAGAGUAGUUGCGGUAGGCGGAAUGUAUGGUGUAGCGGUGAAAUGCUUAGAGAUCAUACAGAACACCGAUUGCGAAGGCAGCUUACCGGCGCUCAACUGACGCUCAUGCACGAAAGUGUGGGUAUCGAACAGGAUUAGAUACCCUGGUAGUC
rnacentral:rRNA from 1 species